ensembl:lncRNA hepatic lectin
AAUACUUUGAAGGGAGCUGCUAUUACUUCUCCCUGAACAGAAUCAGCUGGCACAAAGCGAAGGCGGAGUGCGAGGAGAUGCACGCCCGCCUCAUCGUCAUCGACAGCUACGCCAAACAGACCUUCGUUAUGUUCCGGACGAGGAACGAACGUUUCUGGAUCGGUUUAACGGAUGAAAACAAGGAGGGGGAAUGGGAAUGGGUGGACGGCACCGAUACCCGCAGCUCCUUCACAUUCUGGAAGGAGGGCGAACCCAACAACAGGGGCUUCAACGAAGACUGUGCCCACGUCUGGACCUCGGGGCAAUGGAACGACGUCUAUUGCACCUACGAGUGCUAUUACGUCUGUGAGAAACCCCUCCCCAAAUAAGGACCCCCCCCACACCCCCAAAAACUCCUUUUUUAGCCUUAAUUUAAUACUCUCUGACCCCAUUGGCCUGUGGGUUCCCAGGUUGGGGGUCCGGGCCGGGCAGGCUUGGAGUUGAGCUGCUCAAAGGGGAGAGGGUGAAUAAAGGAGGGCUGUUGUUGCA